rnacentral:rRNA from 1 species
UAAUACGGAGGGUGCGAGCGUUAAUCGGAAUUACUGGGCGUAAAGCGCAUGUAGGCGGUUUGAUAAGUCGGAUGUGAAAUCCCUGGGCUUAACCUAGGAAUGGCAUUCGAUACUGUCGGGCUAGAGUAGGACAGAGGAAGGGGGAAUUCCGCGUGUAGCAGUGAAAUGCGUAGAUAUGCGGAGGAACACCGAUGGCGAAGGCACCUCUCUGGGUCCAUACUGACGCUGAGAUGCGAAAGCGUGGGGAGCGAACAGGAUUAGAUACCCUGGUAGUCCACGCCCUAAACGAUGUCGACUGGUCGUUGGGGGGGUAUUAACUUUUCAGUGACGUAGCUAACGUGGUAAGUCGACCGCCUGGGGAGUACGGCCGCAAGGUUG